GACGAACGCUGGCGGCGUGCUUAACACAUGCAAGUCGAACGAGUGGCGAACGGGUGAGUAAUACGUGAGUAACCUGCCCUCUUUUUGGGAUAAGCCUUGGAAACGGGGUCUAAUACCGGAUAACGGGGUAUGGGCUCGGGGCCUAUCAGCUUGUUGGUGGGGUGAUGGCCUACCCAGGCGGUGCCGGGUAGCCGGCCUGAGAGGGGAACCGGCAACAUUGGAACUGGGAUACGGCCCAGGGUGCUAAGGGGUGGGGCAGUGGGGGAGAUUGGAGAAGGGGCGAAAGCCUGAUGCAGCGACGCCGCGUGGGGGCUGAAGGCUGUCGAGUUGUAUACGUCGUUCGCUAGCGAACCGGUAGGUGGAGAAGAAGCGCCGGCUAACUACGUGCCAGCAGCCGCGGUAAUAC
rnacentral:rRNA from 1 species